rnacentral:rRNA from 1 species
CUAUUUGACUCAACGCGGGAAAUCUUACCGGGUCCGGACACACUGAGGAUUGACAGGCAAUAUCUCAUGUUUCAUUAACCGUUAUUAACGUAUCGGUUAUUUCCUUAACAUCGAGUGUUAAAUAUGCUAGUCCUUUCAUGAUUGUGUGAUAGGUGGUGCAUGGCCGUUCUUAGUUCGUGGAGUGAUCUGUCUGCUUAAUUGCGUUUCACUAAGGGCCCAUAAAUUCAAGGUAUGUUAGCUAUCGCCGCUCUAUGGACCCCUUAACUU